rnacentral:rRNA from 1 species
AGCGAACGCUGGCGGCAGGCUUAACACAUGCAAGUCGAACGCCCCGCAAGGGGAGUGGCAGACGGGUGAGUAACACGUGGGAACGUACCCUUUGGUUCGGAAUAACUUGGGGAAACUCAAGCUAAUACCGGAUAAGCCCUUAUGGGGAAAGGUUGACUGCCGAGGGAUCGGACCGCGUCUGAUUAGCUAGUUGGUGAAGUAAUGGCGCACCAAGGCGACGAUCAGUAACUGGUCUGAGCGGAUGAUCAGCCACACUGGGACUGAGCCACGGCCCAGACUCCUACGGGAGGCAGCAGUGGGGAAUAUUGGACAAUGGGGGCAAGCCAGAACCAGCCAUGCCGCGUGAGUGAUGAAGGCCUUAGGGUUGUAAAGCUCUUUUACCCGGGACGAUAAUGACUGUACCGAGAGAAUAAGCCCCGGCUAACUUCGUGCCAGCCGCCGCCGUAA